CUUGGAGCCACUGGAUUAUGGACUGGAACCUCCACAAACUGUCACCGUUCUGGGAGACGCAGGACACCAGGUUGUGAGGACACCAAGCAGCCCCAUGGAAGGCUCCACCGGCCCUGCCCGCUGAUCACCAGCACCACCUCAUCAGCCAGAUCAAAUGCCAGCUGGCCCUCCUUGGUGCUGGGUCCCCUUCUGGGUGGAGCCACUGAGAUCUGAGCCCAGUGGACCCUCCGCGUCCUGCACACUUGAGUUUCCCGCCAAGAGGCAGAAGCUGACGCCACCAUGUACCAUAGGGAGAGCCACAAGCAAGUUAUUCCCAGUGGGAAGGUGGAGAAGAAAGGACAGCCAUUCACAGCCCAUUACUUCGAAGUUCCGCUGCCAAGCAGCAGGAGGAAAGAGACUCUGGAACAAAGCUGGAGAGACAAGGCAGCAAGUGGGACAGUGCUCUGCGACGGCAACUCGGCAGUGCUAUCCACAUGUUCAGUGCUCAGAGCCUUUGCUGAGCAGCCCCGCUUCUGGGCUGUGCAGAAACCGCAGAAGAACAGCAUACAACGCACACAGCCACUGCAGCCUGCUCGUGAUGGGCGAAACCAAAGCAGCCCCCGUGUUCACCAUAAGCAAACACUGAGGUCCUAGCGCUUGUAGAAACCAAAGUGCUGCUAGAAAGACGGGGUGGACUUGGGCACUGACAGUGACAGACUCACUCACUGCUAUGGAAAAGAGCACGCUGCAGAAUACAACUCACUACCUGCUUGGGGGUAUUUACCUGCUGCAAAACUGGCAAGCAGUGCCCAUUAGGGGCUCCACAAAAAACGAGUGAAUGGUAGAGAGUAUUGGGAAUUCUACACACCACUCCACACACUGCCCUGCGGCCCAGGGACGCCUGCAGGAUGUAAGGAGAAGAGCCUGCCCUGCCUGCGUAAGGACCCCACCCAGAGCCUGAGUCCAGGCCGGAGAAAGCACCAGCGAACACAGAUGAGGGGCUCGCUACACAAAACUGGCUACUGUCUUCAAAGGAGUCCAGGGAACGAAGUCAAGGCCAGAGAGGAACUUUUCUAGACACAAGGAGACUAAAGAGACUGGACUGGACAUCAUUACAACACAGGACAUUACUGGGACAAUUGGCUAAACAAAAAACUGGCCUUGCCAGGCAUGGUGGCACACACCUAUAAUCCCAGC